UUUAUUUUUUUUAUAAAAAAACAAAGAAUUUACAAGACACCCACAUACCUAUUAGUUGAUGAGAUCUAAGGCAAUAACUUAUUUUUUACAAAAGCUAAGGAAGAAAUUAAGAAUGAAGAUAUAAGAAAAAGAAAAUUGUGUAUGUGAUUUGAGAGAUUGUAUACAAUUGGGGAAGAAAUAUGUUAAUUAUCAUUUAGGAUUUAUAUAGUCAAAGUGAGUGAGGACAUACUGUCACUAUAUGAUAAUACUAUAAAAUAAACAACAUUUUUAAAGACCAACCGUAAACAACCUUGUAUCCAAAGGUAGACCCCCACUCACUGUAUGUCAUGAUAGGGUCAAGGAAUGAUGUGACCACCAGAUGCAAAGGAUCUGAAAGGAUUGUUAUGAAAUUGUGUAGAGCCACUGAGAGAAUUCAUUCUUGAAUAGGAUUGUUAUUUAAAAUUGCCUAGAGUUAUGAAUGAAGGUGGGUUUUUGUGACAAAGAGAAUACAACGAGUCAAAUUUGAAAAAAGAAGUACAACAGUGAGAAAUAGAUAGAACGGCGCCUC
rnacentral:lncRNA from 1 species